ACGGAAGGCAGCAGUGGGGAAUAUUGCACAAUGGGGGAAACCCUGAUGCAGCGACGCCGCGUGAGUGAAGAAGUUAUUCGUAAUGUAAAGCUCUAUCAGCAGGGAAGAAAAUGACGGUACCUGACUAAGAAGCCCCGGCUAACUACGUGCCAGCAGCCGCGGUAAUACGUAGGGGGCAAGCGUUAUCCGGAUUUACUGGGUGUAAAGGGAGCGUAGACGGUCUAGCAAGUCUGAUGUGAAAGGCAGGGGCUCAACUCCUGGACUGCAUUGGAAACUGUUAGUCUUGAGUGUCGGAGAGGUAAGCGGAAUUCCUAGUGUAGCGGUGAAAUGCGUAGAUAUUAGGAGGAACACCAGUGGCGAAGGCGGCCUGCUGGACUGUUACUGACGCUGAGGCACGAAAGCGUGGGGAGCAAACAGGAUUAGAUACCCUGGUA
rnacentral:rRNA from 1 species